GACGAACGCUGGCGGCGUGCUUAACACAUGCAAGUCGAACGGAAAGGCCUGCUUUCCCUUGUGGAUUGCGGGUACUCGAGUGGCGAACGGGUGAGUAACACGUGAGUGAUCUGCCCCCAACUUGGGUAUAAGCCUGGGAAACUGGGUCUAAUUCCCGAUAGGACUGCAGGGUGGUGCCUGUGGUGGAAAACGAUUUUCUAGUGGUUGGGGAUGAGCUCGCGGCCUAUCAGCUUGUUGGUGGGGUAAUGGCCUACCAAGGCGGCGACGGGUAGCCGGCCUGAGAGGGUGGACGGCCCCAUUGGGACUGAGAUACGGCCCAGACUCCUACGGGAGGCAGCAGUGGGGAAUAUUGCGCAAUGGGCGGAAGCCUGAUGCAGCGACGCCGCGUGGGGGAUGACGGCCUUCGGGUUGUAAACUCCUUUCGACCGCGAGGAAGCCACCUGGUUGGAAGGGUGGUGACGGUAGUGGUAGAAGAAGCACCGGCUAACUACGUG
rnacentral:rRNA from 1 species